CAGCAUACGAUUGUUCAGACAACUAAAACAUACGACUUAAACUAAAAUUCAGAUAGCUUUGAGCCAACAUACGGCUGGUACUUAGAUAUCAAACUAAAAUUCAGAUAGCUUUAAGCCAACAUACUGCAAGAUCAGACUGCCUUCAACCUGCAGCCUUGCUUUCAGAUAGCCUCCAGCCUUGCCUUCAUCCUGCAGAAACAAAAAAAAACAGUUCAGAAUAGUUAGAGACAUUCAGUAGUGCAGGAUCAGAUCACACAUGAAGUGCAGUUAAAUUUUUAAGGUAGAUAAAUAACUACAAAUGAUAACCAAUAUUGAUAAAGAUAGUUACAAGUACCAGGUAUAUGUGCACGGUCACCAAACUUAUUCCAAAUAUGUUCCAGCAAAUCAUUCUUAAGUCGGCGAUGAGCCGAUUUAUCGCGAAUAGAAGUGUCU
rnacentral:lncRNA from 1 species